rnacentral:rRNA from 1 species
UGGGGAAUAUUGGACAAUGGGCGCAAGCCUGAUCCAGCCAUGCCGCGUGAGUGAUGAAGGCCCUAGGGUUGUAAAGCUCUUUCACCGGUGAAGAUAAUGACGGUAACCGGAGAAGAAGCCCCGGCUAACUUCGUGCCAGCAGCCGCGGUAAUACGAAGGGGGCUAGCGUUGUUCGGAUUUACUGGGCGUAAAGCGCACGUAGGCGGACUAUUAAGUCAGGGGUGAAAUCCCGGGGCUCAACCCCGGAACUGCCUUUGAUACUGGUAGUCUUGAGUUCGAGGGAGGUGAGUGGAAUUCCGGGUGUAGAGGUGAAAUUCGUAGAUAUUCGGAGGAAAACCAGUGGCGAAGGCGGCUCACUGGCUCGAUACUGACGCUGGGGUGCGAAAGCGUGGGGAGCAAACAGG